ensembl:rRNA 5S_rRNA 5S ribosomal RNA
UGCCACAGCCAUAUGACCCUGCAGCCCAAGACUGUGUAUACUAAAGCUAAGCUAGGCUGAGCCUGGUCAGUACCUGGAUGGGAGACCACAUGGAAAAACUAGGUUGCUGUUGCAA